rnacentral:rRNA from 1 species
AAUGAGUUAAUUAUGUUUGUUUUUAUGUAAUUUAUAUUAAUAGAAAUAUCUUAUUUUUAAGUAAUUCAUAUUGAAUUAAUUUUUUUAAUUAUAGCUUAUAGUACCGUGAGGGAAUUUUCUUAAUUUGAUGUAAGUAGACUUAAUUUUUUGUACCUUUUGUAUCAGGGAUGAUUAAUUUUUAAUAUUUAUUUGGUUUUCCCGAAAUUAAAGGAGAUACUAAUAUAUGUUAGUUAAUGUUUCAUAAUUAUUAAUAAUGUAUUAGUAGUAAUGAAAAGUUAUUCGUCUUUAAAUAUCUGGUUUUCUUGGAAGUGAAUUUAAUUCAGAAUCAUUAAUUUAUCUUUUUAAUUGAAUUAUUGGGUUUUUAAUGUUUUAAGGUUUUUGGGGAUAAGCUCGGAAUCUUCUUUAUAAUUAUGUAUUAUAUUAGUUUAGGUAGGCCUGGAAUCAGCCAUCUUUAUUUCGUUAUAGAAUAUUCUUGUUUAAUUAUUAUUUAUUAUAAAUUUAAUUUUAUACUGGAAUUUGAAUUUAAUUUGUAAAUUUCUGUAAUAAUGAUUAUAUUAGUAUUUAAGUAAAAUAAAGUAUAGUAACUCGGCAAAUAUAAUGUUCGCCUGUUUAACAAAAACAUGUCCUUUUGUUUAUUUAUUAAAGGUUUGGCCUGCCCAAUGAAGGUUUUAAUGGCCGCGGUAAAUUAACCGUGCUAAGGUAGCAUAAUCAUUUGUCUUUUAAUUGAGGGCUUGAAUGAAGGGUUAGACGAAACAUUAGCUUUCUUUACUUUAAUUUUAAAAUUUAUCUUUUUAGUAAAAAGGCUAAAAUUUAUCUGUGGGACGAGAAGACCCUAUAGAUCUUUAUAAAUUAUAAUUAUUAAUUUUUUGGUUAAUUUAUGUUUAAUUUUUUAUAAUUUAUUUAAUUGGGGUGAUUACAGAGAAUUAAUAACUUCUGUUUAAGGAUUUCAUAGAUUAGUGUAAUAAUGAUCCAUUAAUAAUGAUUAUAAGAUCAAGUUACCUUAGGGAUAACAGCGUAAUUUUUUCGGAGAGUUCAUAUCGAUGAAGGAGUUUGCGACCUCGAUGUUGGAUUAAAAUAAGUAUUAGGUGUAGCAAUUUAAUAACUAGGUCUGUUCGACCUUUAAUUUUUUACAUGAUCUGAGUUCAGACCGGCGUGAGCCAGGUCAGUUUCUAUCUUCAGUUAUUAUUUGUGUCUUAGUACGAAAGGACCAGGCACAAGGAAGAAUUUCUUUUUAUAUUGAUUAAUACU